rnacentral:lncRNA from 1 species
UGGGUAUUUUGAAAGCAUAUGGUUUCAACUUAUAUGAUAGAUUGUGCAUUUGAUUUAUGCCAUGUAAUAUUCAUGAUGUACUUUUUUAAUUGAGUUUUAAUAGGCAUGAAAAAUGUUGGAAAGUAUAAACAAAUUUUUUUGGUCUUAAUGACAGUUAUACAAAGUUGAAAAAUUGAAGUUUAAAACACUUAAUGAUAAUUGUUUUUAAUUGCAUAAUGUAAGAUAUGCCUCAAUAGUCUUAAAUUAGAUAAUUGAUAAUAUGUUAUUCCGACAAAUUGAAAUGUUUUCAUAUAGAAUGAUAAGUCUCUUUAAGUUAGUUAGAUGGUGUUGAAUCUGUAUAGUUCUGUUAUGUACUAAAUUUGUUGGCAUCUAAUAGAUGAUAUGCUGCAUUUUUGUGUUAUUAUCAAUCACCUACGCUUUGCAUUUUCUAUUUACUAAAUUUUAGCUUUUUCUUUAACAUUGAUUUCCAUUAACUUGACUCCUCCAUUUCAUACUACCUUUAUUAUAUCAAUUCUUCUUGUUGGUUACUGCACUUGAGCCCUCUGAAUCCAUGUUGUUGAGAUUGAAAGAUUGAGACUUUGAGAGAAAUGUAGUUGAGUUUGCAAAGUGUUGAGAGGAAGUAGUGAUGUUUGUAAACAAGGCUCUGAAUUUAAGCCUUUAAAUAGGUAAAUAUGUGGCAAUGUGACUGUUGGGAUCCAACGAUCAAAUUGCAAUCAUGAGUACUUCUUUUAACUUGACCUAAACUUUUGACCUUUUUAAAUGAGUAUUUUGGUUAAUGUAACUUAUGAUUAGGAUUAGAAUUAUCCUUUUAUUUGUUGAAUGCAAUUGUAAAUAAUCUAAAUUUAAGGGGUAUAAUGGUAAUAUUAUGGUUGUUAUAAUUUUCACGCCCAAUGUAUGAGAUGUGAAAGUUCUUGAAAAUCCAACUAGGGCAUUUCAAUUUUUUUAAAUUUAACUAACAGUCAAGCACAAAAUUAAUUGAUGAUAAGGGGGUCUUUACUAGUAAAUAGAUCUUGGCCAUUUAAGUGCAAAAAACCCAAAACUCAAGGGAGGAAAGUAAAAAUUAUCCUAUUAUUGUGUUUUAAAUUUUGAACACGAAAGAUAUUAUUGGUUGAUUUUUCUUAUCAAUUGAUAGUUUGGUGUAUUUUAUUAAAAUUGGAUGAUUACGGAGUUAAAUCUUUUAUAUAUUUUUAUUGGUAAUUUAAUUUCUGAAAAAUAAUUUUAGUAAUAUAAAACUAAACAUACCAAUAGUUUAAAACAACUUUUUUAAUUGACAACCGAACACUAUAUUCCAUUGGCCAACCAGAUAUCUUUAUGCUAGUAUGUAGGAUGACUAGGAUGAAUAUAUAUAUGCGAAUAUAAUUCGGUGCAGAGAAAAUAAUGAUUUCUAAAAUUUUGACACUAUAUUCCAUUGGUCAACAAAACCCUGUACACGUUGACCGUGCCCUAAUAAUGGUCACAGUUUAUUCGCAGUUGCUCAAUUCCAUAAAAAAGUGACAUGACCAGGUUGGGCAUAAAAUUAUAAUCGCGAGAAAUCCAAAUUUGACAGGAUGAAUUCCACAAUGAAUUUUUCCCUUUACCUUAUCAUCCCAUAUACAUAUAGAUAGUCAAAUCCACGUGUCUCUGUAUUUACCUACGUUGGAAUGUUUGAUCAAAAUUGAAUCCCUAUCUAUUACUAUCAGCCUAUUUCUUCUCUUCAUUUUUACUAAUCAAUAUACUCUUUUAAAAUACAAAUUAACUACUUUCAAUCAUUGAAAUUUUAGAUAACCCCCUCAAUAAUUCAUCUAAAUUAAAAUUUACCAUUUGGGAGUGUAACAUACUAUUUUAAAACUUGCGACGAGACGAAUUAAAUCUCAAAACUGUUAUUGUUGUUAUGU